GACGAAGGAUGCAAGCGUUAUCCGGAUUCAUUGGGUUUAAAGGGAGCGUAGGUGGCCUGCUAAGUCAGUGGUGAAAUCUCUGGGCUUAACCCAGAAAUUGCCAUUGAUACUGGUGGGCUUGAGUGCAGUUGCUGUUGGCGGAAUAUGACAUGUAGUGGUGAAAUACAUAGAGAUGUCAUAGAACACCGAUUGCGAAGGCAGCUAACAAAACUGUAACUGACACUGAAGGCUCGAAAGUGUGGGGAUCAAACAGGG
rnacentral:rRNA from 1 species